rnacentral:lncRNA from 1 species
GAUUCUACGCCGCCCGGUCGCCAGGGAGAGUGAAUACAGCUAGGGACGUGAAAGAACGGGGAAGAUAACCGAAGGGUGGUUUGAGAAACCCACCAGGCCAACUGGGAAUUAGAAUUGAUUCAAAACUCCAUUGAUCGCCUGACCUCCAUAAGCUCCUACUCUGCUGCAGUUGAGUGCUGCCACUUAAAUCCUGCAGUCCCGAGAUCCGGUUAUAACCAAUGCAUUUAGAUUUUUCAUUUCGGUGGCAACAAUCUUCAUUGUAAGUUCUGUCCUACAGAGAAGUGUGGUGAUCAAGCUCUUUGGAGAUACUGGGACUCCUCUCACAAAUAUGCUUCUUAGAGACAAGGCCUCACUCCAUUGCCCCUAGGCCAGGCCUGGUGAGUGACAGCAGCCCUGGUGCCCCAGCCUGCUAGGGCAAUGUGUCACCCAGAGGCUUCAAGGCCCUUCUCACCAUGGUACCCACCUCCUCGAAGCUGCCUCCCAAAGCCCUCUAGCUGCUGCUGCAGCCACAACAAGUGCCACCACCAGGGGCCUUCCAGCUGCCAGUGCAGGCUUUCCAGAGCCGGGGACUGGGGAACCUGCAGUCAUCACCUCAGCAAUUCUGGUGGCAGCCAGGCCAGCCAGGGCAGCGAUGAUGACCGUAAUGAAAAGUGGGAUGACAGCUCCACACUGGUGGAUGAGUUGAGAACACCAGGCAGAGGCAUGUACCUGGUCUUUGAUGGUUCAGUGGACCUGCACUACCAUUGCAGUGCAAAGUGCAAGAGUUGAAGCUUGGAAACCUUCACCUAGAUUUAGGAAGAUUCAUGGAAAAGUCUGGAUGUCCACGCAGAAGCCUGCUGCACGAGUGGAACCCUCAUGGAGAAUCUCUACCAGGGCAGUGUGGAGGGGAAAUGUGGGGUUGGAGCCCCCACACAGAGUCCCACUGGAGGACUUCCUAGUGGAGCUAUGAGAAGAGAACCACUGUCCUCCUGACAUCAUAAUGGUAGAUCCACUGGCAGCUUGCACUCUCAGCCUGAAAAAGCUACAAGUACUCAAGGCCAGCCCUUGAGAGCAUCUACAGGUGCUAAACCCUGGAAAGCCACAAGUGUGGUGCUGCCCAAGGCUUUGGGAGCCCACCCCUUGUACCAGCACGCCCUUGAUGUGGGAUAGGAGGUCAAAGGAAGUUAUUUUGGAGCUUUAAGAUUUAAUGACUGCUCUGCUUGGUUUUGGACUUGUGUAGGCUUGUAGCCCCUUUCUUUUGGCCAAUUUCUUCCUUUUAGAAUGGGAAUGUUGAUCCAAUGCCUAUACCCCCAUUGUAUCUUGGAAGUAACAAACUUGUUUCUUAUUUUACAGGGUCAUAGGCAGAAGGGACUAGCCUUGUCUCAGAUAAGACUUUGGACUGUGGACUUUUGAGUUAAUGCUGGAAUGAGUUAAAUAUUUGCAGGACUGUUGAGAAGGCAUGGUAGUUUGUUUGUUUGUUUGUUUGUUUGUUUGUUUGUUUGUUUUUUGAGACAGAGUCUCCCUCUGUCACCAGGCUGGAGUGCAGUGGUGCGAUCGCAGCUCACUGCAAUCUCUGCCUCCUGGGUUCAGAUGAUUCCCCUGCCUCAGCCUCCCCAGUAGCUGGGACUACAGGCCUCCAUCACCAUGCCUGGCUAAUUUUUUGUAUUUUUGUAGAGAUGAGGUUUCACCUUGUUGGCCAGGAUGGUCUCGAUCUCCUGACCUUCUGAUCUGCCUGCCUCGGCCACCCAAAGUGCUGGGAUUACAGGCGUGAACCACUGCACGCAGCCGGAAAAUUAGCCAGGCACGGUGGCGGGCGCCUGUAGUCCCAGCUACUCGGGAGGCUGAGGCAGGAGAAUGGCGUGAACCUGGGAGGCGGAGCUUGCGGUGAGCCAAGAUCGCGCCACUGCACUUCCGCCUGGGCGAAAGAGCGAGACUCCAUCUCAAAAAAAAAAAAAAAAAAAAGCAAAGACGUGCCUGCUACGCUUUCACCUUCCACCAUCAUUGAAAGUUUCCUAAGGCCUCUCCAGAAGCCGAAUAGAUACCAGCAUCAUGCUUCCUGUACAGCCUUUAGAACCAUGAGCCAAUUAAACCUCUUUUCUUU